UGAGAGAACUCGGGUGAAGGAACUAGGCAAAAUGGUGCCGUAACUUCGGGAGAAGGCACGCUGAUAUGUAGGUGAAGUCCCUGCGGGCGGAGCUGAAAUCAGUCGAAGAUACCAGCUGGCUGCAACUGUUUAUUAAAAACACAGCACUGUGCAAACACGAAAGUGGACGUAUACGGUGUGACGCCUGCCCGGUGCCGGAAGG
rnacentral:rRNA from 1 species